ACAACAACAUUUGGGCUGUCGGUCUAUCAAGCAAUAUCACUCGCUCGGUGGAAGAUCUUCUCUUCGUCGUAAACC
rnacentral:pre_miRNA from 1 species